AUGCUGUUUGACUUAGCAUGCCCGGAUGUUGCCAAGAGGCAAGGAUUGUUCGAAGCAACACCAACACAUUUUAUUCUUCAUGACAUGCACAUACAUCUUUCACUGGAGCGCAUUGCCAGCAUGCCUGAUUACCAAAGCUACUGCAUCACCGUUGCUUCAGUGUGUAGCCUCAUCUCCGAGUACGAUGUGAUCCGCACCUAUUGUUUACUUGAUAUUAUUGGUCACAGGUCUUUGUUUGCUGCUUUCUUGGCAUUGCCGUGGGAUCCUGGACAGCAAACAAAUGCUGGUACCAAAUACCUAGCUAGCAUUGGUAUAACUGCAGCUAUUUGUGUUCGACCUCUCAGUUGUUCAUGGACUUCAGUUGAGUUGAAAGCCUGGUCUCCAUCGUUGCGGCAUGUUCCUGGUCAACAUUACAUGUGGCUGAUGAUUUGGAGGAUAACUGACGAUAGACCUAUUACUGCAUGUUUGGUUAUGCUACAGACCACUGAAUUUUGUUCCAAAGAAGUGAGCUCAUGGAAGAUAUCUGGUUUCAAUAUCAUUAUCAGUAUCCAAGCUGACUACUGGUGA
rnacentral:rRNA from 1 species